UACGAAGGGUGCAAGCGUUACUCGGAAUUACUGGGCGUAAAGCGUGCGUAGGUGGUUUGUUAAGUCUGUUGUGAAAGCCCCGGGCUCAACCUGGGAAUGGCAAUGGAUACUGGCAAGCUAGAGUGCGGUAGAGGGUAGUGGAAUUCCCGGCGUAGCGGUGAAAUGCGUAGAGAUCGGGAGGAACACCAGUGGCGAAGGCGGCUACCUGGACCAGCACUGACACUGAGGCACGAAAGCGUGGGGAGCAAACAGG
rnacentral:rRNA from 1 species